CACAUGUACAAUAGAUGUUUAAUGUCAAUGAGUGGUUAUGUUGUCCUGGGUUUCCCACCUCAGGGGAUUGUUAUGGGGGUGUGGUCAGAUGUUAUUUACAUGAUGCACAGGCGCCCAACAGGGACUGGCGCAGGGUAUUGGGGCAAAUUUUAAUGUUGACUGUGGUUAUUUUCUGGGUAUCUGCAUAUUUUGAUAAAACUUUAAAUAAAAGACAAAAAGGAAAGAGCCAGUAUGGAUUAUUGGAGAAUUGUCACAGAACAAAGCCCCACUCCACCCACGGUGCUGAAUCCGAUGUGCUUGUGGAGGCAGAUACAUGCAUAUACAUGUGACACAAUAAACAUGUUCCUGUUUACCAAAAGGAUAUGAGUGAUUUCAGCAAACUCAGCAGAAAAAAAGCUGUUCUGGGUAUUUUUUUUCCCCUUCCACAAACAUAACUAGAGGUUUUGUAGAUAGCUUUGAAAGCUUAUCCUGUGCACCUCAGCAAAUUCUGAAGCUGUUUUAUCUUAUGUGAUCAUUUUAGGUCAUUUAAGAAAUUCCCAAGGCUCUGCGUGGAAUUGGAAGAAGCUGGACUUUGGUCAGAAGAGAGCUUUUAAGAAACCAGCAAACACACAUCAGAGGCACAGCAGUCGAUGGAUUGCAGAGCCUGGUCUCGCAGUGGUCAGUGGAUGAGCGGCGGAGUUACGCCUGGACGGGUCACCAGUCCAUCUUUACAGCUACAUAAACAGCCAACCACACCCAGAGCUAUGGAGUUGCCAGUUGACCUAACAUGCAUGUUUUUGGUCUGUAGGAGGAAACCGGAGAAAACCCGCACAUGCACGGGCAAAAAAGCAAACUCAACACAGGAAGGCUACAGCCUGGAGUUUAAUCCAAAAUGUUUACGCUGUGCAAAAGCAUUCAAAUCAGGUUUUUCAAGAUUAAUACGAGGACCAUAAGAUGCAGCAGUUAGCAACAUGCAUCUUGAUUGGAGCCCUCUCAAGGAAUGAAAAUGUUUUUUUGGCCAUCUGGCUGGAUGAAAACCUGGUCUUUCAGGACAAUUUUGGACCCAGGAAUUUUCAUCAAACCAAAUCAAGCGCACGUUCCACUUUUAGCAGAUUUUCAAUUGUUGCUCAGAGCAAAUUUUUAUAUCUGAAACAUCUAAUGGAAUUGGGGUUACCCCAACCUGGAUUCUUCCAUUUUUACAUCAUCAUUUUACAUGACAUGACAGAGAUAAAAAUAUAAUUUUACAAACUUUGACAUCCAUUGGUUGCUGCUUACAAUAAAGGUUGAAGAAAAACAAGAAUUUACAAUAAAAUUCUCUGAUUUAGCUAGGUUCAGAUAGGGAUGCACCGAUCAGGUUUUUUGCUGCCGAUCACCGAUACCGAUAUCAAAGAAUACUGAUCACCGAUACCGAUCACCGAUACCGAUCACGUGGAUUGGCCAGAAAUUUUCUACAACAUUAUAAUGAGUCCUACAAACUACAUAAUCUGGGAAUAAAGGAAAUGUAACCUAAUCUAAAAUGGUCUGUGUUAGGGUUGUCACGGUGUGAAAAUUUAACCUCACGGUUAUUGUGACCAUAAUUACCACGGUUUUCGGUAUUAUCGCGGUAUUUUUUUUUAAACGUGCUACAUUUUCACACAAUUAAAUAAACCCUGUAUGUCAGGAAAUAUUGUCCUCAGUUUGUGUCUAAAUUUUGCCUAAAAUGUGUUAUUUUGUAAUUAUGUUGUUUAUUUGUUUACAUUUUCCCCUUUAGUCUUUAAAAUACCAAUAUUUGCCCAUAACUUCUUAUUUUAUGUCUGUUUGAUGUCAUCAUUUUAAAAAUAUUAGAUCAGAUGAUACUCAGUACUCAAGUAGCCUUCUAAUCAGAUACUUUUUUUUUUACCCUUACUUGAGCAAUCCGUCGUAUAUCAGGAGAAUAUUGUCCUUGGUUUGUGUCCUUCCAGUGAGCUUUGCAGAUGUGGGAAAAUGUCAUCAGGCAGUAAUCAUUGUUAAAUUCAUAAUUAUUCUCGGGGAGAGACCAACUCCUAUCUGCCCCUGGGAGCCCCGUAAUGCAUAGCGUCAUUUCAACAUGGGGGUGUCCGCGACACGGUUUAUAUGCAGGUAGCGGCGCUGCGGCUGCUUUAUAUAGCGACUCGUUGCAUUCUCCCUCAACCCAAAUCCUCGGAUCACUCAUUUUAGCUAAAACGCUAACGUUAGCUUGCCUUGCGUUGACUGUAGAGUUGUGGGUGAUGGUCACGCAGAUGUGUCAUGAGAUUUGAAACGUUGCUGCCUUUCACAGACACUUUUUCUGCUCGUGCUGCAAACAGGAUAGCCGUCCGUCCGUCUUCUAUAAACUCCCUCGGCAUUCUUCAAAUAUCUAAAAUAUGCCCGUAAUUCCGACUUUGUCUUCUUUGAGGGAUAAUAAAUGUCCUCCUGAGCGCUGCCAUCUCCUCCUUUGACCAUUAUUUCAGCUUUAGCUUCAAGAAAGUUUUGUUGUAAACAAAGCGUGCAUGUGCCGCCGGCAACUUCAGCCGAUGAUACGGUGGCUGGUAAGGGUCACCGCGCCUACACCGCAGCCACGGUAAACCCACCAAGAUAAUAUAGGUUUUUAAAAAACAAGACGGUUAUUAUUAUUGUCAACUUUUUUUUUUUUACCGGGGUUUACCGCUACACUGGUUACCGUGACAACCCUACCUGAUCGGUUUGCUUUGAUCUAUUUUGAAAAUUCCAAUCAAAACCGAUAGGGGCGCUAUCGGCCGAUUACGAUCAAAUGCCAAUCCAUCGGUGCAUCCCUAGGUUCAGAUAACACUGCUGUCAUUAUUAGCUCAGUUGGUCAGCGGCCUUGUGUUAUUCUCCAGAAAACUGUUCCUGAUUUUCUCUUAAAAGUCUAUUUAAAUAUAAAAUAACAUUAAAAAAACAUUGAAAUGGUUAUGCAUUCAAAUAUGAAGUUGGGAGUUUGCGACCAAGCCAAGGUUUGGAUAGAGUAUAUGUUAAAAUUAGGGGUGGGCCUAGAUAAAAAAAAAUCUAAUUAGAGGCUUUUUAAUUAAUGAUCUUGAUUAAUCACAUUUUAAUCAUUCAAGGCAAGUUGUGCCCAAGCAUUUUCUUUUCAAAAAUAAAAUGAGUGAGGCACAGAUGACAUAACCACACUUUAAUGCGUAUUUAUCUGUAACCACAAGGUUUAUUUGAUUACUUUGGUCUCAUUAUAACCAUUAUAGGAUUUGUUGGAAUGUCUAAAUAUUAGUAGAUGUGUUAUUGAUGAAGUGUAAAUGGACUUGGAACAUUGCAAAUGAUUUGAACUGAACACUAGGUGGCAGCAGAUCACUGCUAAUUUAUAUAGAGGUGUAGUGUAGAGUCCAGGGGAAGUUCUGCUGAGAGUUAAAAUAUAAAUGUUGCGUGUACGCUUGUCCCUCCUGCUGUAACAAAGUUCACAUGGAUAAAGUUACCGCCUGCCUACUUUCCACCAACUAGAAAACAUAACAGUUAAAAAGUUUACCCUUUCUUCCCUUCUUUUCUUUAAGAAGAGCGAUUUACAAUGAUUUAUUCAAUUGUAGUUUUAGUUUAGUUUGGAGCACGUAAAAACGUUAUUUGGUCUUGUAGCUCAGGAUCUGCGAUUUUGUUAAAAUGUCAUAAACUUUUCUGGCCCCCAAUUGGGGGGCGCUCUGACUCAAAGGGGUAAAAUUAGCAACUCGUUCUUUUUUUGUAAUUAAUAAAUAAAUAACAUGUUAAAUUCUUUUUAAAAACAUAAUUUGCAUAAUAUAUGGUGUAAAGU